AUUGAACGCUGGCGGCAGGCUUAACACAUGCACGUCGAACGGCAGCACGGGAGCAAUCCUGGUGGCGAGUGGCGAACGGGUGAGUAAUAUAUCGGAACGUGCCCGGUCGUGGGGGAUAACGUAGCGAAAGCUACGCUAAUACCGCAUACGAUCUAUGGAUGAAAGCGGGGGAUCGCAAGACCUCGCGCGAUUGGAGCGGCCGAUAUCAGAUUAGGUAGUUGGUGAGGUAAAGGCUCACCAAGCCGACGAUCUGUAGCUGGUCUGAGAGGACGGCCAGCCACACUGGGACUGAGACACGGCCCAGACUCCUACGGGAGGCAGCAGUGGGGAAUUUUGGACAAUGGGCGCAAGCCUGAUCCAGCAAUGCCGCGUGCAGGAUGAAGGCCUUCGGGUU
rnacentral:rRNA from 1 species